ACUCCUACGGGAGGCAGCAGUGAGGAAUAUUGGUCAAUGGGCGGUAGCCUGAACCAGCCAAGUAGCGUGCAGGAAGACGGCCCUAUGGGUUGUAAACUGCUUUUGAAGGGGAAUAACGUGCGCCACGCGCUGGUGCAAUGCAUGUACCUUUCGAAUAAGGAUCGGCUAACUCCGUGCCAGCAGCCGCGGUAAU
rnacentral:rRNA from 1 species